rnacentral:lncRNA from 1 species
GGAGUUUCCAUGCACACACCCUCUUGCCUGCCACCAUGAAAGGCAUGUCUUGCUUUCCCUUUCCUUCCACCGUGAUUGUGAGCCCUCCCCAGCCAUGUGGAACUUGCAUGACAGCACUCCAGGUUGCUGUUUCUGACCACUGCACAGCACCACCCACUGUGAUCCUUCCUGUUACUUCUCCAGCCCCUGGUGAAGAGCUGCCUCCAACUUCCUGCGCUCACCUGCAAUACUACAAAUUUCGCUCUUGUUGACCAGGCUGGAGUGCAAUGGCACGAUCUCAGCUCACCGCAUUCUCCGCCUCCGGGGUUCAAGUGAUUCUCCUGCCU